rnacentral:rRNA from 1 species
UUCUGGGAUGUUUGACAGAUUGAGAGUUCUUUCUUGAUUCGGUGAAUGGUGGUGCAUGUCCGUUCUUAGUUGGUGGAGAACGAGGCUCUAGCCUAUUAAAUAGGUGCGUGGUCCUCUGCACCUUGCACCUUUCUUAGAGGGACAAGCGGCUCCUAGCCGCACGAAACAGAGCAAUAACAGGCAGUGGCGUCACGAG